rnacentral:rRNA from 1 species
GAAACUAACAAGGAUUCCCCUAGUAACGGCGAGUGAAGAGGGAAGAGCUCAAAUUUGAAAGCUGGUACCUUCGGUAUCCGCGUUGUAACCUCGAGACACGUUUUCCGUGCGGCGCUAUGGACAAGUUCCUUGGAACAGGACAUCGUAGAGGGUGAAAAUCCCGUACUUGCCAUGGAUGUACCGUGCUUUGCGAUACGUGCUCUAAGAGUCGAGUUGUUUGGGAUUGCAGCUCAAAAUGGGUGGUAGACUCCAUCUAAAGCUAAAUAUCGGGGAGAGACCGAUAGCGAACAAGUACCGUGAGGGAAAGAUGAAAAGCACUUUGGAAAGAGAGUUAAAAGUACGUGAAAUUGUCGAAAGGGAAGCGCUUGAAGUCAGCCAUGCCGCUCAGGACUCAGCCUGGCUUUUGCUUGGUGUAUUUCCUGGGUAGCAAGUCAGCAUUGGUUUGGAUCGUCGGAGAAGCAUAGUCGGAAUGUGGCGCCCUCGGGCGUGUUAUAGCCUUCUAUUGGAUACGACGAUCUAGACCAAGGAACGCAGCGCGCCUUAUGGCGGGUCUUC